rnacentral:lncRNA from 1 species
AUAUGAUAUAUUAUAAAAAAUUUAUGUAUCAUUGUUAAUGAUCAUUAAUAUUCAUAGUCAGAAAUUGAACUUCUACCACCUGCUUACGAGGUUUAAAUUUUUUACCAUUUAAACCAAUUUAUUAUUUACUAGCGGGUCAGACAGUGUCUAACUUAUGUCAACAAAAAAAAUGUCUUUAGGGUGAGUUUGUUAAUAAAAGAUUUGCUGCUUAAAAAAAAACGUGUUUUAUGUUAGGGUAAUUUGUUAAUAAAAGAUUAUUAUUGCUACUAAAAAAAAUCAAGAGUAUUCUUGGUAUUAUGAAAAGUUCAUACCAAAACUCAUAUACUCUCCUUAUAUAUAGUAUAGAUAUAUGAUAACAUUUUUUUUUAUUACAUUAAUAUUUAGAAUAUACCUAUGACGUCCAAAAAACGUUACUCUACAUUAUUUUUCAUUAUUCAUAUUUCAAAACUACAUAUACAUACAUGUACGAGUCGGUGUGAUUGGUAACAGUUUGCUCCUAUAGCCAUCGUAAGUUUGACCAGGACGUUGUCUGGUUGACCAAAUUGUUAGAUAUACUCUAAUAAUCUUUUUGGUUUAAAAAAAAAAAGAUAUACUCUAAUAAAUAAUUUACACAUUUUAAUAUAUAUAACGGUUUAAAUAUUUUCGUAAUGUGUUUUCUAACAAGUAUAUAAUUUUUUUUUUAUCCUUAUACGAAAUGGUAAGCACUUCACCAAAAAUAUUGAAGUGAUAAACAUCACUUAAUACCAUACAUAUAAUUAUGAAAUUUUAAAUUUGAAUAUGGAUAAAAAUUGAAGUGGUAAGCAAUUUGCCUGAAAAAUAAACUCCUUUCUUCUCAUGGUGUCUUUGAGGGAAUCUAGUUUGGUGGUGGUAUGUCUCCUUCUUUCUUUAUAUUUUUAUAUUUAUAUUUUGGUGGAGUGUACUUCUGGUAUUUCUUAUUUUUUUGAACUUUCUUUUGUACCGUUAUAUAUAUAUAUAUGACUUCAUCUUUUACUUAUACUUAUAUACUAUAGUCCAGAAAUAUGUAACCCACUCUUUAAAUUUUUGAAGCAUGUCCUGACUUUGAUUAACUAUGAGACUCAACUCAUUAUAAAAUUUUAAUGAUAAAAAAUGUCCACUAGCUAGUAUGAGUAAUUUUCAGAUUAUAUAUAUCCAUUGACCAUUUACUAUUAUUAUGAUAUGACUCACAUGUGCUACACGAGCUAGCCAUAUCCUAUUAAGUUAAUUAUACUCAGCUUCUUCCUAGACCUUCCCUUUCAAAACUUGGUUCGAGAUGUGUCUAAUUUUUUUUCAAUUAAUUUGAACUAGUUGCUGCAGCUAAUUAACUAAGCUAUACUUAAACUAUAUAAUAAAUUAAUAUAUAUUUUGUUGAACUAUUUUGUUAUAAUAUAUAUGAACAAUAUACACUAGUAUGUAUUAUAAUUGGAACAUGUAAACACAAUUUAUUGGUAUGCUAAGAGGCAUUGAGAAAGACUUUUAAAUAGGAAGUUUAGGUUUAAUUUCACAAACUAACAUAAUCACUAACUGCUUAAAUAUGAAAAUGGUUCUUAUAUUUUAAUUUUAGUCCUUGUAAAUGUUUUAUUUUAUUUUAUUUUAGUCUCAGUAAAUAUAUAACAUUUUGUUUUUGGUCCUUGUUUUUUUUGGCCGGUCUUUAUAGAAUGGAUUCAUAUUUGUAAUUGGUCUAUGUAAAAUAUUACAAGGAGUAAAUUUAACAUAUAUAUGAAGAUAUUUUGCAAGGUUUAAAGAAAAAUAUCAAUGACCAAAAAAAAAAUUUACAAUGACAGAAAUUAAAACUCUUGAUAUUUGCGGGGACCAUUUUCAUAGGGAGUUUGAAAUACCUUGUCCGAACGUCUAUGACGAAUCUCAGGAACAAGCUGACGCAACUUCGAAACAAGUUCAAUGAUUUGGUCAUCAGAAAUUCUUGAAGAAGAAGAUUGUUGCCUUGACCUUCUGCUAGACAUAAUAUAUACCUAGAUGUUGGUGUAAGCUACGGUUCUAUUUAUAAGUUUAUAAAAUAAAGAAAGUAACAAAAAUUAAUUGGCUUAUUUGGUUGGAAAUUAACAAACAAAAGACAAGCUAUAUAGUGGAGAAAAUGAGAGGAAGAAGAUAUAGGUAGGGGAAUGGUAGGAAUAGAGUUUAAAUAAAAGUUAUAGGUAUGAAUGAAGAAAUG